rnacentral:rRNA from 1 species
CAGUAGCCGCGGUAAAACGUAGGCAGCAAGCGUUGUUCGGAGUUACUGGGCGUAAAGGGUGUGUAGGCGGUUGGAUAAGUGUGGUGUGAAAUCUCCCGGCUUGACUGAGAGGGUGCGCUACAAACUGUCUGACUAGAGUGUGGGAUGGGAGAGUGGAAUUCCUGGUGUAGCGGUGAAAUGCGUAGAUAUCAGGAGGAACACCGGUGGUGUAGACGGCUCUCUGGACCAUAACUGACGCUGAGACGCGAAAGCGUGGGUAGCAAACAGGAUUAGAUACCCCAGUAGUCCCUGUCUCUUAUAC